GACGAACGCUGGCGGCGUGCUUAACACAUGCAAGUCGAACGGAAAGGCCCUGCUUUUGGGGGGUGCUCGAGUGGCGAACGGGUGAGUAACACGUGAGUAACCUGCCCUUGACUUUGGGAUAACUUCAGGAAACUGGGGCUAAUACCGGAUAGUAGCUCCUGCUGCAUGGUGGGGGUUGGAAAGUUUCGGCGGUUGGGGAUGGACGCGCGGCUUAUCAGCUUGUUGGUGGGGGAGUGGCUUACCAAGGCGUGGCCGGGUCGCCGGCCUGGGAGGGUGACCGGGCACAAUGGGACUGAGGGACGGCCCAGACUCCAACGGGAGGCAGCAGGGGGGAAUAUUGCACAAUGGGCCGACGCCUGAUGCAGAGACGCCGCGUGCGGAAUGACGGUCUUGGGGUUGGAAACCGCUUUAGCCUGUGACGAAGCGUGAGUGACGGUAAUGGGUAAAGAAGCACCGGCUAACUACGUG
rnacentral:rRNA from 1 species